rnacentral:lncRNA from 1 species
GUUCCCAGGCUAGGGGUUGAAGCGGAGCUACAGCUGCCAACUUACGCCACAGCCACAGCAACAUAGAAUCUGAGCCACAUCUGCAACCUACACCACAGUUCAUGGCAAUACUGGAUCCUUAACCCACUGAGUGAGGCCAGGGAUCAAACCCAUGUUCUCCCGGAUACUGGUUGGGUUCGUUACUGCUGAGCCAUGAUAGGAACUCUAUGCUCCCAGAAAAUUUGACUGAAUUGCCUGGGACCUUCCUUAACUCUGCCCUGUUGCUUUUUUCCCCCAACAAUACUCCCUAAAUCUUCAGUAAGUCACAAAGACAGAACAUGACAAGUUUCAACAAAUUCAUUAGGGCUCUUUUUGUCCUGUGUGUUGUCUAUCCUCUCCUCAAUAGAAAUUAGAUGACCAUAAAUGAGCUAUGGUAAUGACAGGCAGCCAAAGAAACUGAACAAAAUAUGACUGGGUGUUCUCAGUCCAAUCCCAUACCCUGCCAUGUACCAAGCUCUGCCAGAGGACUUUACAGGGGAACAAAGACAUAGCUCUUACCCUCCUUCUCUCACUUCUAUCCCAUGUUCUCUGCUUCCAUAGUUCUCAGACUUGUACUAUAACAAGCUAUUAUAUUGUGUGGAGGAAUAUCUCCAUAUUAACCAUGGACUUUACAAAUGAUUCCUCUGGGGACUACAGUAACAAAGUCAAUGUGACAUACAAUUUUAGAAGAGGAAAAACUAGGUUGUUAGCAGGUAGUGCAGAAAUUACUAGUGGCUCUGACCACAUGGAGACUGGAAUUCUGCUCCCAACAUCCCUUCUUUGCUCAUUUAUGGACAGGUUAAAGAGGGGGGAUUGUUCACGCCUGGUGGGACCUAUUUUGGCAGGAAAUACAAAAAAAGAUUACUUCCUAAGGGAUACUUACAUGAGUUUCUUUCUGUUUAUAACACUUAGCAUUCAUUCCUUUUUUAGGACAUAGUAUUUAUGUGUGUGUGCUACUACGAUAUUCCAACAAAGGACAAAUGUGAAAGAGUAUUAUUCCAUGUGACUUAAAAACCUAACCUUUACAACUCCUUCUGAAGGUCAUUCCUCCCAUGACUAGGAGUUAGCUGUGCAAGGCCAAGAGUUCUGGCACACUGUAUGAAGAUGCAGCAAAAUCAGGGGCUGAGGCUGCCUUUCAGCAUGCUCAUUGCAGUUUCUUUUGUUCAUUUAUUCAUUCCAUUACUGAGUACCUAUUCUGUUCCCUGCAUUUUGCUAGGACACUGAAGAGCAAUGCUUCUGGGUCUGUCUAUUAGGAGUUGGGUUAAAAAGACAGGUUUCCAGGUCCCACUACAGUCUCCCUGAAUCGGAAUGAUCCAAGAGGAAAGUCAUGGGAAUCUAUACUUUUAACAAGCACUUAAGUGACUCUUACAUGAAUAGUCUGGAAUGGUUGAUUCCUGCCCUGAUGAACUCAUAGGCCUCAUUUUUCUAUGAAUCUAAUUCAUGCAGGUCCUUUCUAGUUGGAUUUCUAGGUGAAAUGAUGUUUUCUCUAUCAGCAGUUUCUAGAUCUCCAUGUUCAAUAAAAUGUCAAACCCACCCAGAAUUCCUUAAAAAGUCAGUAACGUGCAUAUUUAGCCAUGUAAGUCACCAUUUUUCUUUCUUACGCUAUUUCCUUUUUUCCAUAACCAAAUGUUUCAAUGCUGACAGACAGUCCAACCAUCUCAUUAAAUGUGAGUAUCAUUACAGGUUUUUCUAAUGUAACCUUGUUUUUUGACAAAAUACAACUUUCAACAGAAAUUACAUGGGUGAGGUCAGCCGGAGUCCUAUGCAGUGAAAUGGAAUUCUGAAAGGGUUCUGAGGUUCUUAAAAGCCUGAAAGCCUCUGUCCUAUACAUGAACUGCCUAGUGCUUCAGGGAAGACCUAAUAGAGCUUCUGUUUUGCAGACCCAUAGCCCAUGACCCACGGUCAUGCUUGAUGCAUUCCCCCCAGUCACAGCAAAUUUAGAAGGCAAAUCAUUUGUGUCAAUUGUCUUGGGUGGCAACAAAUUAUGACUUGGCUCAGCAAGUUGCUGUCUCUCAAGGCUGCCUACUGUGAGUAAUGACCAAGUACUGGCAUCACACAGGCUGCAAGAUGACUGAGGGAAGGUGCUAGGAGAGAUGAGACAUCACACAGGCUGCAAGAUGACUGAAGGAAGGUGCUGGGAGAGUUGAGAAUGUGUCUCUUGCAUCUGUUUUCCUCCCAUAAACUGGUGCCUCUGCAGCUGCAAGCGUUGUCAUUUGUCAUCUUUUUUUUCCGAAAGGCUGUGUUGUCUUAUCUGAUGUUGAGAUUCUGCCACACAGCUUUGAACACUGAAGCUCAGGAAGGAGAAAUCAGUUGGAAAAUUGUUCCUGUCUCUUGCUAUGCUUGACAUUUCCACACUGAUAAGGUACAGCUAAAUAUUGACUUUUUGGUUAAGUUCGAAUUAGGUGUCUGGUCCGUGAGCAUUGAUUGUGAACCAUUAUCUCUCUUCUCCACUUGCCACUGAGUUCUCUUACAAACACAGAAAGGACAAAGGGGGAAAACUGUUGCCUAAAGUGUUGUCACUAAUUACCUGGAGGUCUUUUCUGAGCUGUGAUAAAAAUCAUCAUUGACUUUAGAGACAUGGGGACAUUUGUGUUGAAGAUGGUAUUGGUGAACAUUAGGACAUAGUAAAAAUCAAAUUUUUACACUUAUAGGUUAUUCACAUAUGCCUUCAAAUUUAUGCAUUGAAGAAAAUGCCACCAUAUUAUCACUAUAAGUGCACAAACCAGAUAACUGGCUGACAUUAAUUAUUUAAAUGUAAUAUCAAGGCCAUACUAAAAGCAAUGUGUGAAGUUCUCUGUGCUCCAUUUAGCCAACACAGAACCAAUCGGUGGAUUAGGCUUCCUUUUUCCAUUCUGCUUGAAAUAGAACAGUUAUGAGAAUCUCAAAUAAGGAUGAUUUUUGCCUUUUGUGACUUUCUGCAUUGUCUCCCAAAGGAGACUGUGAAUUCCUUGAAAGCAGGAUGAUCCUUGAUUGAUUUCUCUAGACGAAAGUAUUCCUAGUC